rnacentral:rRNA from 1 species
CCUACGGGAGGCUGCAGUGAGGCAUAUUGGUCAAUGGCCGUAAGGCUGAACCAGCCAAGUAGCGUGAGGGAAGACUGCCCUAUGGUUUGUAAACCUCUUUUAUGAGGGGAUAAAGGUGUGCACGUGUGGAUGUUUGCCGGUACCGAAUGACUAAGGACCGGCUAACUCCGUGCCAGCAGCCGCGGUAAUACGGAGGAUACGAGCGUUAUCCGGAUUUAUUGGGUUUAAAGGGAGCGUAGAUGGGUUGUUAAGUCAGUUGUGAAAGUUUGCGGCUCAACCGUAAAAUUGCAUUUGAUACUGGCAGUCUUGAGUACAGUUGAGGUAGGCGGAAUUCGUGGUGUAGCGGUGAAAUGCUUAGAUAUCACGAAGAACUCCGAUUGCGAAGGCAGCUUACUAAACUGCCACUGACAUUGAUGCUCGAAAGUGUGGGUAUCAAACAGGAUUAGAUACCCCGGUAGUC